UUUAGAUGUUAACCAAAACUGUGCAGGGGCCUAUGUCCUAUAUCAGAAUUCUUUUAGGAGUCAUAGGAGCUUGAAUGUUUGAAGACCGUCUGCUUUUGGCACCUUACACGUAGUCGUGGUUCAAACGUGUUUGCUUUUGAGGAGGGAUUUAAGUGAAGUUUGUAAACCAUUAGAAAGGAUAAGAUUUAAGGUGGUCUUACAAGCUUUGAAUGAGAGAGUUCGAACAGAUACGCGUCUCUGCUGGAUGGCUCCAGUGUGCACCUCUCAGCAGCUCGGGAACAUCUUUGGCGUCUCUUGUGUGUUUCAUUCCCUGCCCCCCGCCCCCCCCCAGCCAGUUCUUCUAUUCUCUGACACCAGUUGGGCAUCUUGUCCUUCACUUCAGUGCUGACACCAGUUACCCCGCACGGCUGACACAGACCCUGAAGGUUGACUCAGUCCUCCAGCACUGCCCCCACGCCAGGUGCCAGGUGCAGGCGGGGUCCCCGGGCUACCUGCACUUCUGCCUGUCCAACUACAGAUGUGGGGGGUUUCACCACCUUCACGCCCCUCCAGUUUGAUAAUUUGUUAGAAUGACUCACAGGAGCCAAGGAAGUGCUGUACUUGGGUUAUAGUCUUAUUUUAAAGGACACAAAAGUCAGGAACCGCCAGAUGGAAGAGAAGCACAGGGCAAAACUGGCAGGGGGUGUGGGCAGGGGGUCUCCAUGUCCUUUUUGUGGUACCACCCUCCCAGCACGUCCAUAUGUCCACCGAUCUGGGAGCUCCCCUAGCCCUGUGUUUCAGAAUUUUUAGCCAAGUUUCCUUACAGAGGCACGAUUGCUUAAAUCACAGGCGGUUGUUGAUUGAGCUCAGUCCGUGGUCACUCUCCCCUCCCCAGAGGUGGGGCUGGGCAGGGGGAGGUGCGUUCCUGGGCAUCAGGCUGCUAUCCUGCGGCUCCUGGGGGGGCCUGCCAAAGGUCACGUCAUUAGCAUACGCGCAGGAGUGGGUCAGAGGGGCUCCUGAGGAAUAACAGAAGACUUUCCAUCACUCACAGAAUUCCACAUUUUAGGAGCUCCAUGCCAGCAACCCAGGGCAAAAACCAAAUAUGUAUGUUUUUAUUAUAACACAGUGGGAUUCUAGGAAAUCAUUGAUUUCCUUUCUUAGUUUGGCAAGUUGGGGAUUAGCUUAAGGGAGCAGGGGCAAGUGUGACCUUACGGCCUUUGCCAAGUCUUGGAGGAAUAGCACUCGGGAAGGAGGUUUAGGGCUCUUGUUAGAGAUUUUAGUUGUUCAUUUUACCAGCCAGCCAAUCAGCCAGCCAACCAACCAACCAACCCACCAACUUUAUAGCAUGCUAAGUCCUCAACUAGGAGCCUAGGAGCACAGGAGCCCAGGAGCCUGGAAGUGGUGGUCUGGGGGAGGCAGAGAGUACAAAGUUGAAUUAAGCACAGUUCCUGCCCUGGAGGUUCCUGCCUUGCCAAGCUUUUCUUGGGGACCAUGUCUUUCUGCUUUCCUUUACCCUUUCUUAGGAUCGUGUUUCACUGAUAGGACAGGCUUCUGGUGGAAAGGAAUUCUGCACACCAGAGACACUGGGGAACAGGAUCUCCAAUGGGGAAGCCCUUGCUCCCCCUGCACGAUUCCUGUGCCCUCCCUCACCUAUGCUCCGGGUUGUCUUAGUCUCCUGAAUCCUCAUUAGCAGGAAUGCGUCCAUUUUUAGGAGUGAUGAGUGGAUGGAAAAAUGUCACCAAUCACUCAUGACAGAUGUCGCCAAAGCUUAAUUAAGACCAGACAGUUUCAGCUCAGCGACUUUGUAGAUGAUGUCGGAAGAAUGCUGGAUCACAGAGCCAAGAUUCAGGGUCCCAGCAAGAUUCUGUAAGCAGUCUGUCUCACCUUUGUGGAAAGAAGCUCGCUCUGCAGUGUAGGGAAUGCUACUUGUUUAAGAUGCGGUUUCUGCCCUCAUGGAGGUUAUAAUUACAAAUUAAAAAAUUUGUACAUGAAAAGAAAUAAGAUGAAGCAUGAAAUUGUAUUCACACUGCCUCUCUAGAGGGGAGUGGGAAGUGGAGAGAAAGGGAGAGAGACAGACAUAGGAUUUUGGAUUCUGUCCCUGGUCGCUCAGCCUCUCCCCCCUCUUUCUGCUCAGGGAGACUGCGCGUCUGCCGAAUGGGUCCUGGAAGAGGGUGUAGGGGGGGUGAAGACAUCAAGAACCUUAGGCUGGGGUUUCGGGAGAGAUUCUAAUGGGGAAUUAGCCAAGGCUGGGCUGGAGAGGGAAACUGGCAAGGAGAGUGUGGUAGGAGGCAUGAGAACCGAGGAGGGGAGCAGUGGGGAAAGGGUUUAAAUGUUGGUGUGGACUGUGAAUUACAUCCCUUUUGAGCUUCUAGAAGAUUGCAGUGAUUUUUCUGGAAAGGUUGGAAUGCCUUUGGAUUAUUUUUGGUCUCUAGACUGCACUUCCUAAAACGUGCAAUAAGACAGAUACUGGGCAAUACGAUAUGCAGAGUAACUCCCAAUUUAAACUGAGGCCAGCUACGCUAUUGGAAAAUAUCCUGAGGGUGCAAUGUAAAUCUAAUCAUGCUACUCUUAGGCUUAAAACCGUUCAGCAGCUUUCGUUUGCCCUAGAAGUGAAAUCUCAUCUCCUUACUGUGGCUUCAGAAUAGGCCUCUGCCCACCCCUCCCAGGACAACUCGGGCCAUUUUACUCACUCUGCUCUGGCCACGCUGGCCUUUCAGUUUCUGGGGCACUGUAAACUCAGCCUCUGCAGGGCUUUUGCACAGAGUGUACUCUCAGGCAGCAGUGCCUUGGUCCCUAUUUCCACUUCUCUACUCUGCACAGUAUGUUCUUCCUUAUUCUUCAACUCUUGGCUUCAAUCUCACCACCUAAAAGGCCCUCCCUCACUCCCCUCUGAUCUAAAAGAAGUUACCUCGUGAUUAUUUCUCACGGUGCAGUGGGUUGAAUGGUAGCCCCCGAAAGGUAGGUCCUGGAAACUGUGAAUGCAACCCUAUUUGGAAAAAGGGCCUUUGAGGAUGUAAUUAAGUUAAGGAUCUCAAAAUGAUAUCAUCCUGUAUUAUCUGGGUGGGUCCUAAAUCCCAAGUGCCCUUAUAGGAGACAAACAGAGGAGAGACGCAGAGGGAGAAGACGAGAAGGCAUGAGGCCAUGUGACCAUAGAGACCCUUUGCCAGAAGUGCCGUGAGCCAAAGAACACCUGUGGCCACCCCGAGAUGAAAGAGACCAACUUUUCUCCAAGACUGCUGUGUUCUCAAAUGUUUGCAGAUAGCGUUCUGAAAUGAUGUCGGAUAUGUUCCUUGUUCUGUUAUGAAGUACGCGACCCGCAGCCUUGGGUUCAGCUAUGACAUCAUCAAAUUUUAGAAAGUCCUCAAGUCAUUUAACCUCUGACGCGUUGACUCUUGGCACCUCUUCUGUUUCUUGCCUUUGGAGGCCAUCUCCAAGCUGUCCCCAUGGCCUGCCCCCUCCCACCUAGGACCCUCUCCAGCAUGCCCAGGGUUUUUGCCCUCCACCUGCCACACAGCACGGACGGCCGGGCUUGUGCGUGUGAACUCUUUUGAAAUCUGCCGCGUCGUAUACUGGUGUUUCAUGGGUGACGCUUUAUCAAGAGUCACUGGUCUACCUCCUUACUACCAAGUUAUAUCAAUGUAGCGUUAAACUUUUUGUUUUCGGUUUGGGGGAAAUCAUUUGCAAUAAUUUGCUUUUUCUAAAC